AGUAAAUGAUCAGCAUCCUCCA
rnacentral:miRNA from 1 species